CUGGCCCUGCGCGGCAGGCCGCCACCAACCCCGCCAGAUCCGGAAGGAAGCAACGGUACGUGGUUAGGUCUGGGUGCCGUAGGUAAACCGGACCGGA
rnacentral:SRP_RNA from 1 species